GUAAAAGCGCUAUAUAAAUAAAUUUGACUUGACUUGAUUUGACUUGUUACCGGGUGAGCCAGUGCCUAGGGGAAGGAUCUACCCCCUGUCAGUGCCGGAGGAGAAGGCCAUGGAAGAAUACAUCGAAGAGGCCCUUAACCAAGGAUACAUCCGCCCGUCUACUUCCCCUGCUGCUUCAAGUUUCUUCUUCGUGGCAAAAAAGGACGGAGGCUUGCGGCCCUGCAUUGAUUAUCGUUCCCUAAACAAGAUUACAGUUAAGUUCCGGUACCCACUUCCCCUCGUCCCAGCGGCCCUGGAACAUCUCCGUGGUGCCACUGUGUUCACUAAGCUGAACCUCCGCAGCUCGUACAACCUCAUCCGGAUACGCGAGGGGGACGAGUGGAAGACCGCCUUCGUCACGCCCACCGGCCAUUAUGAAUAUCUGGUCAUGCCCUAUGGACUUGUCAACGCCCCCUCCGUAUUCCAGGAUUUCAUUCAUGAGGUGCUCCGGGAGUUCCUCCACAAGUUUGUACUGGUGUACAUAGAUGACAUCCUUAUCUACUCCCGGAGCCUGGCCGAACAUCGCCACCACGUUGCGGAGGUCCUCCAACGCUUACGGCAAUUUCACCUAUUCCUCAAGGCAGAAAAGUGCUCCUUUCACCAACCCUCAGUCCAUUUCCUGGGAUACUUAAUUGAUCACAGUGGCAUCCAGAUGGACGAGGGGAAGGUAGAAGCCAUCAAGUCCUGGCCCAUUCCCACAACCAUCAAAGAACUCCAACGUUUCCUAGGCUUCGCCAAUUUCUACCGCCGCUUUAUCAAGAACUACAGCUCCAUUAUCCACCCACUCACCAACCUCCUCCGUCACCAGCCCAAGUCUCUGUCCUGGUCCGAAGAUGCCACCAACGCCUUCGAAGCCCUCAAGAGUGCCUUCACCACCGCUCCCCUCCUCGUCCAUCCGGACCUUGACCUGCCAUUUGUCGUGGAAGUGGACGCCUCCACCACAGGAGUGGGAGCGGUACCGUCCGCCACUGAGAUCUCGUAACCAUACAAAACUGACAGCCUUUGUCUACAAAAUCUCGUAUGAAAACGAAGGAAUGAAAGCGGCUGUCUUUUGAAAGCUUAUAACUGAACAAACCCCACCACCACUAAGAUUGCAUAACCUAACAAAACCGGCCAUUAGUGAAAUCUCGUGACAGAACAAAACUGACCGCCUUUGUCUUUGAAAUCUCGUAAGACAGCGAAGUAUCAAAACUGUCCAUCUUUUGAAAGCUCAUGACAGAACAAAAUCCCACUGCCACUGAGAUUGCGUAACCAAACAAAACCGGCGAUCAGUGUAAUCUCGUGACAGAACAAAACCGACCGCCUUUGUCUUCGAAAUCUCAUGAAAGAGCGAAAAAAAUGGCCGUCUUUUGAAAGCUCAUGACAGAACAAAGCCGACCGCCACUGAGAUCUCGUAACCGUACAAAACAGAUGGCCUUUGUCUCCAAAAUCUCUUAAGUGAGCGAAGGAACAAAAGCGGCCAUCUUUUGAAAGCUAUCCUACCGCCACUGAGAUUGCGUAACCUAACAAAACCGGCUGCCACUGAGAUCUCGUAACCGAACAAAACCGAUGGCCUUUGUCUUCAAAAUCUCGGAAGCGAAGGAACAAAAGCGGCUGUCUUUUGAAAGCUUGUAACUGAACAAACCACACCACCACUGAGACCGCGUAACCUAUCAAAACCAGCCAUCAGUGAAAUCUUGUGACAAAAGAAAACCGACCACCUUUGUCUUCGAAAUCUCGUAAGAGAGCGAAGGAACAAAACCGGCCAUCUUUUGAAAGCUCAUGACUGAACAAAGCUCACCGUCACUGAGAUUGCGUAAUCUAACAAAACCGGCCCAAUGAAAUUUCGUGACAUAACAAAACUGAUGGCCUUUGUCUUCGAAAUCUCGUAAGAGCACAAAGGAACAAAACCGGCCGUCCUUUGAAGGUUCAUGACAAAUCAAAGCCGUCCACCACUGAGAUCUCGUAACCAAACAAAACCGAUGGCCUUUGUCUUUGAAAUCUCGUAAGAGAGCAAAGGAACAAAACUGGCUGUCUUUUGAAAGCUCAUGACAGAACAAAGCCGACUGCCACUGAGAUCGUGUAACUGAACAAAGUAAGAGAGUGAAGGAACAAACAAAACUCUUUCGAAGAUUGUUUACCGAUUCAAUUAUCUUUUUUUAAUCUCAUUCUUUCUGCGUGAACUGAGUACAUAACACUUACAGGCAUACUUUUAAAUUUCAGUUUUCACAAUUAUUUAUUCUCUCUCUCUCUCUCUCUCUCUCUCUCUUUCUCUCUCUCUUUCUCUCUCUUACACACACACACACACACUCACUAAAGUGAUCAUCUUAAAAGACGAAUGGGAAAGGUAGAUAUAUUAUCAUGGUAUAUAUAUUGGGAACACCAAACUCCGUGUAAGCAGCAUACUGUAUGACUUGUGAUCUCCCAAGUGUCGUACAUUAGAGGCAAAGCUUUGCAGCAGCACGAUUAACACAUUUAUUAUUUAAAUUUCAGCGAGUGGUGGUUCAUGUGGUGAAAAAGUGGGAUGAUUUGUCAAUGCCAUACCGACUGUUAUUCUACCUGACAGAAAUAAGGCCGUCCUGAAAACGGCACGGUUUGACCAAUCAGAUGAAAGGGGUGUUUCAGCACCACCCAUGAAAUAUCAAAGCCAUAAACUAAUUUUUAUAAAUCACAAACGAAAAAUGGGAAAUCGGGCCAAAAUCUAAAUUUCCGUUUGUUAGACUAAACGAAAAAAAAAUUAGCCGUCUUUUCAUUUCUCGUUAUUCCAUUCCAAAUAGGAAAUGAAAUCAAAAACGGACACGGUCCGUGUAUCUUUUGGUCAUUCGUUUUUUGAUUUAACAUAGAAAUUGGAAAAAUUAAAAACGGCACCUUUUUCGUUUUUCUUUUUUUUCAAACAAAGCGAAAAUCAAGAAUUCGGCUUGAUUUUUCGUUUUUCGUUCAGGGGUAGCAAAUGAAUAAACAACUUGAAUAUUUGAUCUCUAUGUAGACAGGAAUGAAACACCCCUUUCCGCUGAUUGGUCAACCAAACAUUAAACCGUACCGUCAUCAUUUCUUCUGCAAUUCAGCGCAGCAAAACAACAGUCCUCCACUGCUAUGGAUUCUUAACGCAUUUAUUGCAACUACAUUCAAUCUCUUUCUCAUCAAACAGCCAGACUAACGAAUGGCUUGACACAUACCGUACCGAGGCAGAGCAAGGCUUUCUUCUGUGUGUCCAUAAAUGCGGCAACCUACGCGUGUUUAUCUCAGAAAUAUUAUUAUUAUACUAGUUUAUCUAUAAUUUUAUAAAUUUCUUAUAAUUUCAAGCCAUUUGUAAUAAAAUAAAAAAAAUGUAUUUAAAAAAUAAUUAAAAAGAGUAGAAAGAAAACACAUUGUUACGAAUGCGCAGACAUGAGACAGAGUGAGAAUCCAAAUGCAAGCACCAACGUUUAGUAACAAAAAGGUAAUCCAUAAACAGGAGUAAUCCACAGGCAGCAGACGAGAGCAACGGCAAGAACACACAAGGGCAACGACCAAUAAACAACAACUGAACGUAAAGGUUUAAAUAGACAUUAACAAUGGGCUGAUAAGGGACAGGUGUUGGUGAUAUGAUGUCAUGGUAACAAGGCAAAACAGGAACCAAAACACAGGAAGUAAAGAUUGAAACAAAGAAAACCAAGAUUACGCUUCAACAUAAAAGUCCUACAAAACACAAGACAACACAGGGAUCGUGACACACAUACAGCAAUGUGAAAAUCAAAUAAUACAACAGCAAAUAAGUAAAAGUUCCUUACUGAUCAAUUAGUUUUUAAUGGAUCCAGAUAUAUACUGGUGUCCACCUUUGUAAGAAGAUGUCCAUUUUCAGUUGGAGUUGGGUAGCUGAAUAUUCCAUUUUAUAAAUAGAUUCAAGUUUUUCUAUCUAUUGGGCCAUUGUUGGAGAAUGUGGCUUUCUUCCAAUUAAUUUUCAUAGUUUUUUGUGCACUUAAUAAGAGUACAAGCAAAAUAUAAAAUGUGGAUAUUUUCGGACAAUCCCAAAAUAUAUGCGUGUGGUCUCCUACCUUCCCACAACCCCUCCAGCAUUUCUCUGCUUCUGGACGGUUAACAAAUUUUAAUAUUGCCAAUGGUGUUCUAAAAAACCUAAUUUUUGUUUUCCAGUCAAACUCUUUCCAGUUGUGACUAUUGAUUCCCUUGUGACAUUUUGCACAUAUACUUUCCUAUGUCUCAUCCUCAGUUUCGUUUAGUUCAGACUCUCACUUUGUCUUUAUGGAGUUUCUAUGUCUCUAUGGAGUGUAUUAUCUGUUGAAUCAAGAAAUAGUCUGCUAUAUAUGUGUGACAUAUGUCUAUUAAUAGAUAUUGCUUCUUUAUAUCAGUGAAAUACUGUUCUGCUUUAGUUGGGGCUUCCAUAAUUAUUUCCUUGUCCUUAUGAGUUGUAAUAUAGUUUCUUAUUUGUAGGUACCGAAAGAAAUCACUUGACGAUAACAUAAACAUUUCUUUAAGAUCAGAGAAUGAGUGCAAUGUGCUUCCCUUAAAUAACUGAUCAAUUAUGAUAAGACCCUUCUCAGUCCAUCUUUUAAAAGUACCAUCUUAACUGGAGGGUAGAAACUCAAGGUUAUCUGCUAUAGACAUGUCUCUUGAUAAGGUUGCCACUCCUCUCAAUUUUUUUGUUUUGUUUUCUUUUUCUCUUUUUAAAUGUUGUCCAAACUCUCAGAGUUUGCUUAACCCAGAUAUUUUUUUUAUUUUCAUCUUUUUCUUAGAUUGGGGUGUCAUAAAACUAGUGUUGACAAUGGCAUUUAGUACAGAGCACUGUUCUAUGUUAAUCCAUUCUGUUAGAACAAUUUUUAGAACUGUAUCUUUAUCGUUAUCUUUAUCGUUCUUGGUGCGAACGGGCCUUAAAGGAGAGUUUGCAAAGAAACUUCUGUUGAAAGAUGAAUCAGCAAACUGCAUUGGCUCUGACAGUAGCUGCAUCGUAGCAACUAAACUUUUACCAUGGGAACCUGGAGCACUGGAAUACUUGUCCAAUAGCUUCUAGAGUAAAAAACAAGGCGCUGUCUUUGACUAUAGUUAAUAGUUCCGAUGAAGGUGUGGUUCCACUGAGGGUGUGUCCUGGUC